rnacentral:lncRNA from 1 species
CUAGUAUUUUAAAUAGAGACUAUGCAUCUUAAUUUUUGAAUCAUCAAUUGAUCAUAAUUAAUAAAAAAAAAGAGACUUAAACCAAACUUUUGCUAAUUUUUCAUAUUUUUCUAAACUUCUUUUAAGAGAUUUGGGUCAAGCAGGUUAAGAAAAAAAAAUUUUCUGACAUAUAAGUAAUGCAAGUAUAUGAGAGAAGAGCUUUUAGUUCUCAAAGUAUACUAAAGAAUAAAGGGAAAUAUGGCUAUUAUUCUAUCUUGAUGGAUGAUGAGAUGAAGAAACAUCUUACAUAACUAUAGAAAAAGAUUGCGCAAUUCACCAAGAUCAUAUCUUGAUUGGUGUCACCUUCAACAUAAGCACCAACAACUCCCGAAGCUAUCUCCGACAUAUAGAAACGAGAAUCUACCAUGUAGCAAAGAAGAGCAAGAUCAAAAAUUAUCUCCUAGAAAAGUUAAGUAGUUCAACCGC